UUUGGUUAAGUUAGAAAGGGCGCACGGUGGAUGCCUUGACACUAGGAGUCGAUGAAGGACGGGACUAACGCCGAUAUGCUUCGGGGAGCUGUAAGUAAGCUUUGAUCCGAAGAUUUCCGAAUGGGGAAACCCACCAUACGUAAUGGUAUGGUAUCCUUAUCUGAAUACAUAGGGUAAGGAAGACAGACCCAGGGAACUGAAACAUCUAAGUACCUGGAGGAAGAGAAAGCAAAUGCGAUUUCCUGAGUAGCGGCGAGCGAAACGGAACAUAGCCCAAACCAAGAGGCUUGCCUCUUGGGGUUGUAGGACAUUCUAUACGGAGUUACAAAGGAACGAGGUAGACGAAGCGACCUGGAAAGGUCCGUCGUAGAGGGUAACAACCCCGUAGUCGAAACUUCGUUCUCUCUUGAAUGUAUCCUGAGUACGGCGGAACACGUGAAAUUCCGUCGGAAUCUGGGAGGACCAUCUCCCAAGGCUAAAUACUCCCUAGUGAUCGAUAGUGAACCAGUACCGUGAGGGAAAGGUGAAAAGCACCCCGGAAGGGGAGUGAAAGAGAUCCUGAAACCGUGUGCCUACAAAUAGUCAGAGCCCGUUAACGGGUGAUGGCGUGCCUUUUGUAGAAUGAACCGGCGAGUUACGAUCCCGUGCGAGGUUAAGCUGAAGAGGCGGAGCCGCAGCGAAAGCGAGUCUGAAUAGGGCGUUUAGUACGUGGUCGUAGACCCGAAACCAGGUGAUCUACCCAUGUCCAGGGUGAAGUUCAGGUAACACUGAAUGGAGGCCCGAACCCACGCACGUUGAAAAGUGCGGGGAUGAGGUGUGGGUAGCGGAGAAAUUCCAAUCGAACCUGGAGAUAGCUGGUUCUCCCCGAAAUAGCUUUAGGGCUAGCCUUAAGUGUAAGAGUCUUGGAGGUAGAGCACUGAUUGGACUAGGGGUCCUCAUCGGAUUACCGAAUUCAGUCAAACUCCGAAUGCCAAUGACUUAUCCUUAGGAGUCAGACUGCGAGUGAUAAGAUCCGUAGUCAAAAGGGAAACAGCCCAGACCGCCAGCUAAGGUCCCAAAGUGUGUAUUAAGUGGAAAAGGAUGUGGAGUUGCUUAGACAACUAGGAUGUUGGCUUAGAAGCAGCCACCAUUUAAAGAGUGCGUAAUAGCUCACUAGUCGAGUGACUCUGCGCCGAAAAUGUACCGGGGCUAAAUACACCACCGAAGCUGCGGAUUGAUACCAAUGGUAUCAGUGGUAGGGGAGCGUUCUAAGGACAGUGAAGUCAGACCGGAAGGACUGGUGGAGUGCUUAGAAGUGAGAAUGCCGGUAUGAGUAGCGAAAGACGGGUGAGAAUCCCGUCCACCGAAUGCCUAAGGUUUCCUGAGGAAGGCUCGUCCGCUCAGGGUUAGUCAGGACCUAAGCCGAGGCCGACAGGCGUAGGCGAUGGACAACAGGUUGAUAUUCCUGUACCACCUCUUUAUCGUUUGAGCAAUGGAGGGACGCAGAAGGAUAGAAGAAGCGUGCGAUUGGUUGUGCACGUCCAAGCAGUUAGGCUGAUAAGUAGGCAAAUCCGCUUAUCGUAAAGGCUGAGCUGUGAUGGGGAAGCUCCUUAUGGAGCGAAGUCUUUGAUUCCCCGCUGCCAAGAAAAGCUUCUAGCGAGAUAAAAGGUGCCUGUACCGCAAACCGACACAGGUAGGCGAGGAGAGAAUCCUAAGGUGUGCGAGAGAACUCUGGUUAAGGAACUCGGCAAAAUGACCCCGUAACUUCGGGAGAAGGGGUGCUUUCUUAACGGAAAGCCGCAGUGAAUAGGCCCAAGCGACUGUUUAGCAAAAACACAGCUCUCUGCGAAGCCGUAAGGCGAAGUAUAGGGGGUGACACCUGCCCGGUGCUGGAAGGUUAAGGAGAGGGGUUAGCGUAAGCGAAGCUCUGAACUGAAGCCCCAGUAAACGGCGGCCGUAACUAUAACGGUCCUAAGGUAGCGAAAUUCCUUGUCGGGUAAGUUCCGACCCGCACGAAAGGUGUAACGAUUUGGGCACUGUCUCAACCAGAGACUCGGUGAAAUUAUAGUACCUGUGAAGAUGCAGGUUACCCGCGACAGGACGGAAAGACCCCGUGGAGCUUUACUGUAGCCUGAUAUUGAAUUUUGGUACAGUUUGUACAGGAUAGGCGGGAGCCAUUGAAACCGGAGCGCUAGCUUCGGUGGAGGCGCUGGUGGGAUACCGCCCUGACUGUAUUGAAAUUCUAACCUACGGGUCUUAUCGACCCGGGAGACAGUGUCAGGUGGGCAGUUUGACUGGGGCGGUCGCCUCCUAAAGUGUAACGGAGGCGCCCAAAGGUUCCCUCAGAAUGGUUGGAAAUCAUUCGUAGAGUGCAAAGGCAUAAGGGAGCUUGACUGCGAGACCUACAAGUCGAGCAGGGACGAAAGUCGGGCUUAGUGAUCCGGUGGUUCCGCAUGGAAGGGCCAUCGCUCAACGGAUAAAAGCUACCCCGGGGAUAACAGGCUUAUCUCCCCCAAGAGUCCACAUCGACGGGGAGGUUUGGCACCUCGAUGUCGGCUCAUCGCAUCCUGGGGCUGUAGUCGGUCCCAAGGGUUGGGCUGUUCGCCCAUUAAAGCGGUACGCGAGCUGGGUUCAGAACGUCGUGAGACAGUUCGGUCCCUAUCCGUCGUGGGCGUAGGAAAUUUGAGAGGAGCUGUCCUUAGUACGAGAGGACCGGGAUGGACGCACCGCUGGUGUACCAGUUGUUCUGCCAAGGGCAUAGCUGGGUAGCUAUGUGCGGAAGGGAUAAGUGCUGAAAGCAUCUAAGCAUGAAGCCCCCCUCAAGAUGAGAUUUCCCAUAGCGUAAGCUAGUAAGAUCCCUGAAAGAUGAUCAGGUUGAUAGGUUCGAGGUGGAAGC
rnacentral:rRNA from 1 species